GUCUUUCUGUCUGUCUCCAGUGAGGAGAGCAAUGUGUAUAAUUUGUGCAUAUUUUUAGGAAAAUAAUUUUCCAAAGCUAGAACAACAAAUGUGCAAAAUAAAUAUAUAUAUUUUUAAAUGUACUGUUACAUAUACAUACGUAGGUGUGCCAACAUCUGUCUAUCUUCAGCAUAAUCUGAAGAAAUCAAAAGAACUCCAUUCCUCACCAUCUUUAUGAAUAUUUAGUAACCCAAAAGAGCCAUUUUUAUAGAAACCUAGUAAAACAGUGAACUGCAAAUACAGUAAAUGCUUACAGAAUAUAGGAGGGAAGCUUUAGGUGGGCUUUAAGGAAACUGAUCCAAAUAUGAAGAAUAUAUUUACUGCAUGGCUCAUUAUGCUUUGAAUGAAUAUUCAUCUGACCAAAAAAAAAAAAUCCAUAGUUUUUCUUUCUGUUCUUAACAAAUAAACAUUUUAGGAGUUCAGGUUCCAGAUCCUUACCGUAUUAUUUAAAACUGGAUGAGAUGAUGGUGGAAAAAAAUGGAACCAAAAAGCACCGUACUGUUCUUCAAUUCUGCAGUUUUGAGGAAAAACUGGAUCCUGGGAAUUUUAUUGACGUUCUGAAGUACACUGAGGAGGACUGUAUGAAACUAACGAGACAAUAAAUGCUCUUCUGCAUUGCUUGAAGGGUGUUGCGAGAGCACUGUGUUGUUCACUCUGUUUCUCCCCCUCCCUCAGUCAGUAAGAUGAGAUUACUGCCAGAUGAAGGCAUGAGUUCAUAUUGAAAAAGAAGUUAAAUUGUAUCCCAAGAGAGUCAUAUUUUCAGAACAAACUGAUGCAUCAUUGCGUUCAGUCAAGGCUCAGGUUGGCCACUCCUGAUGUAGACUAUUCAGAUUUCCCAAUAGCCUAUUUAAAAAGGCCGGAAAGGUAGUAUGGAGCGGGAGCAGGAGACCUGGCUGGUCUGAAAAUGUAGUUACCUGCAACAAGUCUACUGUGUAUUUUGGGCAAACGAACAGCAGACUUUCUGGUAGAACAGAAUUGAAGAACGUUUAAUGUUUUAUAAUAAGUGAAUGUUACAGAUGUCUUCAUUGGAUUGGAUUGUGCUCUUCAGUAACUUAUAUCAUGUUUAAAAAUAGUCAAAAUACCAUUUGGAAUUUCAACAUUGUUGGGCUUUGAGGAGAUGUAGCAGCACAUCAUGGUUUGUAGGGACAAGGAGAUACAGACCAUUCUGGGCUGCCUCAUUACCUCAAGGAUAGACAAGAAAGGGAGCUUCUGGGUGUCAGCCGUGGAAGCUACCACAUUCUCAUGUAUCUCUUAGAUCAGUUGAACAGGUAUGUUUAGAUACAUGUUUGUACUGCUUUUACAUGUAUGCUUUCUUUCCAGCCUGCAAAGGUGGAGUAUUGGUUUUAUGCCUUUGGUGAAUCUGCCUAAAACAGGGUCCAGGGAUUUGCAUUAUUCUAAACUGUUGCCCCGAUCACAGGCCAUGUGAUUGUUCAAUAUUUCAUUACCUUCCAAUAUCAGUAAUAGUGUAUUAAGAUGGAGCUAAGUCAUCUUUAAUGUUGUGUCUUCAGUUGACUUACACCAGUUGCAUGUUGCCUGAAGUAAUCCUGCUUCCUGUAGUGUUCAACAUUCUUUCCUCUGGUUAAGACAAAUGACAAAUUAUAGGUACUGUGACAACCA